rnacentral:tRNA from 1 species
AUUAUUUUGGCAGAGUAGUGUAUUGGAUUUAGAAACCAAAUAAGUAAUUUUACAAAUAAUA